GUAGUGCUCUCGCUGGGUGUAGAGUUCACUGGUGAGUGUGAGUGCAACUGUAGAAAGGGUUCCGCAUGAAGGCAGAGUGGAAAACCCUAACAAAGAACUGGACAGGAGCUGCUCUGCUGAGAAACCUGGCGAGGUGUUGCAAGACUGAGCGUAAGGAGUGCAGAACACAGUAGUUUGCUACAACUCUCCUCAAUGAUAGAGGCUUCAGUUAUGAAUGCUGUACCACAGAGGAAGGGUUGACAGCAGUGUUCUAGAAUGGCAGUGCUGCAGUCUAUCUUGCAGUGGUGACACCUUUUAUUUACUCAAAGAAACUUUUUAUUCACCUCUGCAACUGAGCUACAGCUAUGCUGUUACACCCCAGGUGUGCUUUGCUCAUAUUUACUUAACUCAUCAUUAACCCAUCUACUGAAUAAACCCUGGGGCUGGUUUGAACAUUGAGCACCAUGCUACUCACCUCAUUCCUCUACUAGGAGUUGAAUGAAGGUGUUUAUUAGUCCUGUCUUGCUCAUCCUCCUAUAAGUAACUCAUUCUGAAGAGCUUCCUCAGGGCUGGUUUUGGAGCUGCAUCACUUAUUCUUUUGCCAGUUUCCUAUGCAAAUUUGCAGUAUUUUUAGGAAGUCCAAGCUGAAAUGAUUCCCCCAGGUUUGUCAACAGAUCAGUAAUUGCUUUGGGGGAGGGUUGCUAUUCACAGGGCCAGAAAACAUUCCUCUGUUUUAAGUGAAGGAAUAUAAAAUUAACGAGGCUGCACCCACUGGGAUAGCGACAUGCCUGUUUGUUUUAUUAACAGCAGACACAGUUUUAUUAGGAAAAAACAAAGUGGAAAAGGAUCUACUGGGACAAACACACAAGCAUGACUGGAACAAGGUCAAAUCUCUUAUUAUUCUGGUCUGAUCACACCAGAGCUGAAAGUGAGCCGUGCUGUUGGGAUUCACACCUGAUCCGUGGGUUAGUCUGGUGUUCAGCACUCUCUUGAUCCUAUCCCAGCUUAUCAGCAGUGUUUAUUUUGUUCCACUGGGUCAUCCUAUACUAACAUUUGGCUGCAGUUGUCUGGCUGUUAAAACCCUGGUGCUUGCUGGCAGGGACUGCCUACUGUGAUUCUUCUCUUAAACAAGAGACCAUGAAGGACUGAGGCCCUUGAAACUUUCUCAGGGAGAAGCCAAGCAAUUCUUUCAGACCAUGAUAUCCAGACAGAACAAUUUUGCCUACUUUAUGGUGAAAUAGUAGGAUCUCCCUGUACUGCUUUUCCAGAGCACUUUCUGUGUAGCUGGCAGGCAUUGCAUUAACCCACAGUAGAGCUGCAGCCAACCCUGCCUUCAUUACUGUGUGCACGUUCUUUUCUCCCUUUGGAAAGCUCUCUCCACGUUUGCAGUGCUUCCUCGGGCCAGUUUCAGUGGUAGGUUGGUGGGUAGCUCAGCACUGGUCCCAUUACUCUGCUUUCAUUGUCUGAAGUUGGGUUUGAUACAGUGAGCUAACAAAGCAGUAGCACCAGGUCAACAUCAGUGAUUAUGCUUUUAUUGUCUUAGUAGCAAACAAAAUAUACCUGUUAACCAAUCCCCCCCAUGUGCUUCCCAGUCCCUAUUUAAUAUUGCAGUAGAGAAAACUUCAGAAGGUGAGGUCAGCUCUUCUGGGUGGUUUUGGAUCUCCUUUUUGAUACCAAAUCUGCAGUGAUGUUAAUCCACCUCUGGAGGUGGAAGGCAGCAAGGGGUGUCCUUGCUGCUGGGCACCAUAGGAAGCAAAGAGUUGUGGGCAGUGGGAUUAAAAGGGCCUUUAGCCUUCCCAGCCCCCUCUUGCUAAGGGCAGUGCAAACAAAUGUGAGGUUUUGAGCACUGUCUCACCAGAAUAAAGUUUUUGUUAAUUGUGAUGUGAUUAUGUAAUUGAGCAAAUGAUGCCCAAAGUCUCUUAGAGUGCAGCUAUCUAAGAAGGCCCCCCAACAGACUCACAUCUGGUGAUGAAGCAGGCUUGAUGAAGUUUUGCAAGCCCUGUGAUGAUGUCCAGGAGCAGCACUGGGCUGUUUCAUAACUGUCUGCAUGCCAGAGAAAAUGGAAAGCCAUGUGAGAGUAAAGCAAGGGGGGGGGGGUGUCUGUUCUGACCCAGCUGCUUUGGUUCAUCCUGUGAUGGCAGUGCUUUCUGCUUGUCCUGGGCACAGUGAUGGGGGAAAAAUGGUAGUGUGUGGUACAGUCUGUUCUGAGCUGGGUUUAGGGUGGGAUAGGAGACAGAGCAAUCUACUCAAUGGGCAUAGGGAUGGAGCAAAGCAUGCCUUAUCCCUCUGAGUGAAAGAAAUGACAACAUUUGUCAACAUUUUUCAUUUCAGCUGAGAGCACCUGUGCUUAAGACGGCUUUUCCCAGCUGAGCCCCUUUGGAUGUAUGUCUUUGACAACCUUUGCUGCCCCUAACGCUGCUUUUGUAGAGAAAAGGUUUUGUUGAUGCAGCGAAUUUUUGUUACUUACUGUUGGUCAUAAUGCACUCUUAAAGCUGUGUUUAACAUAAGCGGUUUUGAUACAAGAUGUGUGUGCUGUUGUGUGAAAUCUUAGCCCUGGAUGAAUCCAGAAGCGUUUUG
rnacentral:lncRNA from 7 species